AAGUACUUUGGCCGCCAGGGGAGCAAGACCCUCACAAAGAAAGAGAAGAAGACCAUGACACAGUACAGCGAGUUUGUCCAGGAGGUGGUCAGAGCCAAAAAGCAAAAACUGUACGAGGG